rnacentral:rRNA from 1 species
AGCGAACGCUGGCGGCAUGCCUAACACAUGCAAGUCGAACGAGACCUUCGGGUCUAGUGGCGCACGGGUGCGUAACGCGUGGGAACCUGCCCUUAGGUUCGGAAUAACUCCCUGAAAGGGGUGCUAAUACCGGAUAAUGUCUUCGGACCAAAGAUUUAUCGCCUUUGGAUGGGCCCGCGUUGGAUUAGCUAGUUGGUAGGGUAAAAGCCUACCAAGGCGACGAUCCAUAGCUGGUCUGAGAGGAUGAUCAGCCACACUGGGACUGAGACACGGCCCAGACUCCUACGGGAGGCAGGAGUGGGGAAUAUUGGACCAUGGGCGAAAGCCUGAUCCAGCUAUGCCGCGUGAGUGAUGAAGGCCUUAGGGUUGUAAAGCUCUUUUAACCGGGAUGAUAAUGACAGUACCGGGAGAAUAAGCGCCGGCUAACUCCGUG